UGAUCUUUAAGGUCCCUUCCAACCCAAAUCAUUCCAUGAUUCUAUCCCACAUCUGGGUGGGAAAUUCUUGCGCAUUUGUGACAGUUCAAGGUAACUUUGUCUUGUUUUGAAUGAAGAAAAUAUUGACUAAGUGUGGAUAUCACAGUGUCAAGACUUCUGGCUUUCUAGGGAGCAAGAUAAGCCCAAAACAGAACUACUUGACUUUGUACUUGUUUUGCCUGAUGUUCAUCCAAUUCCUCCCAGCAUUUCCUGAGCCACCAGGACUCACCCCAUAAAAAGCUUUAAAUUUUGGAAGCAGCCCCUGCGUUGUGAAGCCCCAUGGAAACAUGGAUCCACGUUUUUCAGCCCAGAUAAAAACUUCAACUUCUCCUUGUUUCGUUCUGGUUCCAUUUCUGUCCCACUUCCUCUUCUCUGCCUGGAAGUGACUCCGUUGUCAGAUGCUUCUUCCUUCCCUACUUUGGGCCUCCUCUCCCCACCACAGACACCAACUCUUUUUGUUUGCAGGUUCCCAGCUCAAACCAACGAAGAUUUAAGAGCUAAAAAAAAAAGCUUACAAGCAAUUUUUAUUUCCUACACAAACACUUCUCGUGCCCUGAAAAGUACCCCUCAUUUCCUGAAGUGAGUUCAGACCUCCUGCACAGUGUGUAAGAAACAAGGGAUAAACAAGGGGAUAAAUAUUAUGUCCCACAUCUGAAAACCAACUUCACAAAAAAAUAUGCACUAAAUGAUACAUGAUAAUGGGGAAGGAGAUGCCAGAGGCCUUAAUGAAUGGUGGUAAGCAAGGCUGGAAAAAUAAAUUAUAUAAUAAUCUCCUAUUAUAUUCCCUUUGACAUAAAUUAAUCUUGACCCGGAACAAUAGUGCUCCUUUCCAAGGGAAAAUAACCCAAUGCAGUUUAUAAUCAUGAGUCAGGAGUCCAAUGCAAAGUGGUUUGUGUUUGCUCUUUGUUGUUAAGAUUUUGCUUCAUCUGGUGAAUUUUGUGGAAAAGUCGGGAACAGGGAGAGCAACUUCCAGCCAGAACUGCCAGUUCCUGCCUCUGGGUGGCUGGGAAGAAGCUGCUGGACUUCAACCCAAGAUUCUCUUCAAAUUGCUCCGUGUCUUUCCCAAAAUGUGGUGCCCAACAUGGAAUAAAGCAACCCAGCCAAGACCAGAGGAGUGUGGAAGGAUUAUUUCCCAUGUCUUGUAGGUUAUAUUCUAUUUUAUACAAUCCGGAUGGGGUUGUUUUUUUUUUCCAACACCACAUAAGUACUGAGACCCUCAUACAUUUUCCUACAUUCCUUCCCAUUUUUUUUUAGACUAUUUCCCCCAUGUCUGCCAGUGCUCAAAUCCAGGAUUGAAGAAGAUGUUUUCUACUGCUGUUAUAGAUGGAUGCUGCUGGUGAAUCAGCACAUGAAAUAGGCUAAUUAAUGAUCUUUGGAAUAACCAAAUCCCUCCAGGUUUCAGUUUUACCUGAAGGGAUGAUGUGCCAGCAAAAGAGAAAUGCAAGAUACAUUAAAAUAAUACAGCAGAGUUACUACAUGGAGUAAAUUUCAGGAAAAAAGACUCAGUAUUCUAUUUUUUCUUCAUUAAAUGUGAAGAGCUCAUAAAAACCCAAUUAAUUAGUCAGAAUGAUGUGAACGACUCGUCAGACCUAAUUUUAGCAGCCUAAACUUAGCCAGCAUUUCCACAACAGUCAUCUCAUCUCCUUCAGCAACAAAUGGAGAGGGAUGAACAUUUCCAGGAUAAGUGGGAAUGUCUGCAGCUCCCUAAAAAGCCAGAGUAAGGUGGGAUGAGCUCCCCUGUGAGGACAGAGGAGUUCCAGUAACCACAGGAAGCCUCGACCAGCAGGCAAACACUGGAUUUCUUUGCAGAGGUCAGGUGAGACAAACCCCACCAACUCAGUGGUGGUAAAAUAAUUAUUUUACAUUAGUAUGAAAAUUAAACAUAAUGCAAAUUAACUGUAAUCAUCAGGUGGAGAAAGUACCAUGAGAUAUUGCUUAUUAAAUAGUUACAGAGCAUGGAACUUCCAUGUCACAGCCAACUUCAGAGCAUCAACUCUCCUUUUUUUCCAAAUUGAGCUGACAGAUGAGUGUGUUGAAUUUCUCUGUGAAGGAUCAUUUUUACACAGCAAUUGGAGAUAAACAUAUCUCAUUUUGACAAAAUCGCCCUGUUUGCUCUCCAGAUUGAUUUUUGCCUUUUCCAAGAAG
rnacentral:lncRNA from 1 species